rnacentral:rRNA from 1 species
UACGUAGGGUGCGAGCGUUAAUCGGAAUUACUGGGCGUAAAGCGUGCGCAGGCGGUUUUGUAAGCCAGAUGUGAAAGCCCCGGGCUUAACCUGGGAAUGGCAUUUGGGACUGCAAGGCUGGAGUGUGGCAGAGGAGACUGGAAUUCCCGGUGUAGUGGUGAAAUGCGUAGAGAUCGGGAGGAACACCGGUGGCGAAGGCGGUUCUCUGGGCCGUUACCUGGACGCUGAGGAGCGAAAGCGUGGGGAGCGAACAGG